CACCGCGGUUAUACGAGAGACCCAAGUUGACAAAUAACGGCGUAAAGCGUGGUUAAGGAACAUAUAAAAUAAAGUCGAACCCUGUCAAAGCUGUCAUACGCGUACGAGAGCAUGAAGCCCAAAUACGAAAGUAACUUUACUACCCCCGACGCCACGAAAGCCAAGAAA
rnacentral:rRNA from 1 species